rnacentral:rRNA from 1 species
UACGUAGGUGGCGAGCGUUGUCCGGAUUUACUGGGCGUAAAGGGAGCGUAGGCGGACUUUUAAGUGAGAUGUGAAAUACCCGGGCUCAACUUGGGUGCUGCAUUUCAAACUGAAAGUCUAGAGUGCAGGAGAGGAGAAUGGAAUUCCUAGUGUAGCGGUGAAAUGCGUAGAGAUUAGGAAGAACACCAGUGGCGAAGGCGAUUCUCUGGACUGUAACUGACACUGAGGCACGAAAGCGUGGGGAGCAAACAGGAUUAGAUACCCU